rnacentral:ncRNA from 1 species
ACGCUAGUAUUCAGAGGGGAAAAUUUGAAACGAUCAUCCCUUCAGGGUUUAUAGAUAGAAUUAAGUGAAAUUGUCACUUAUGUACUUUAUUUUUUGAAUGACUUGAGUUCAGACACUAGAGAAUCCCGUCUUUGACACGGACAACCGAUGCUUUUGUGAUGCGCUCUCGAAGAGUCGAGUUGUUUGGGAAUGCAGCUCAAAAUGGGUGGUAAAUUCCAUCUAAAGCUAAAUAUUGGCGAGAGACCGAUAGCGAACAAGUACCGUGAGGGAAAGAUGAAAAGCACUUUGGAAAGAGAGUUAAACAGUACGUGAAAUUGUUGAAAGGGAAACGUUUGAAG